CAAGACGGAGAGCGCAUCCCACACCUGGUCUGCCGUUCACGUUGUAAAACUCAUUCAUGUUUUCAUGUUUUCUCAGAUGUGUGUUUGUGUUUGCCUCUGAAAAGAUUAUGUUCAUGAAGACUCUCUCCUUAUUCCCUUCAGGUGCUUCUGGAGUUCCCUUGUGGCUGUCUGCUGGUGUGAGUGUGUGUGUCUCGUCCACUUCUUCAGCUCCUCCUACUCACGUGUUUAGGUGUUGUCUGGGCGGCACGCGAAGGACAGGCACCUUGGGGAUGCCGCGGGAUGCCGGGACGACGCCGUUGACGCACCACAACCGCUACAAAAGUGUCCUGGACCGAACAGCGAGGACUGGUGGACACAACACGGAGGCGCCAGGCGGGGGACAGUCAUGAGGCACACUCGCUAUCACACAAACGCUUUUUAUCUAAUGCGAAACAUUAUGCACUUGACGUAAAAAGAAAAAAAAAAUAGGAAUUGAGAUUUUCAUAUGGACAAACAUUACAGAGGCUGAUGGAGUCAAGUUCGCCAUUUUGAGGAGCCCUGAGUGGUAUCCAGCGAAAUGCCUGAACGGUGAAGCCAAGAAGCUUUUCACGUCUAAAGGCAAUUCCGCGCGGGAGGAAACAAGAUAAGAGACUCGGGGAGACACGGAGAGAAUUAGACUCCGUGACACCUUCAUUUGCGCCCCGAACGGAUGGGCUGCGCCGCGACCCACCUUGCACCAAGCGGGGAGAGGAAAGAACUGACGGUGAACUCGAUAACGAAGCAUUUAAGAUAGAGGCUGAAUGAAAUAUAGUCUGUGAGAUUAAAAAAUGAUGGUGCAACUACUACUACUACUACUACUACUACUACUACUACUACUACUACUACUACUACUACUACUAUUAGCACUACUACUACUCCUAUUCUUUUAUAUAAGAGGGGAUCUGUCCAAAGCAACAACCAAAAAAAAAAAACAGUUCAAACGAAUAUUAAUAAUAAUAAUAAUAACAAUAAUAAUGAUAAUAAUAAUAAUAACAACAACAACAACAACAU